rnacentral:rRNA from 1 species
AUCUGGGCGGCGGAAUUCAGGAUGGUCGGGCGGGCUUCGCGCUCGUCGGGCCGUUUGAUAUUUCCGUCGCCGUGUCGGACGUCGCGACCUGUUCGUCGUCGGUCCUUGCUCGGAGGAAUCGCGUUCGAGUUCGUUGCGGGCGCGUUUCGGCGUGUCCCGCGGCGAAGGCGCGUCUUUCUGGCUGACGACGGACAGUAGGCAACGGUGUCCGGCGUCGUGUCUCGCACUCGGCGUCGGUACCGGUCAGCGACGAUUUCUUCGGGCCUCUUUCCGACCCGUCUUGAAACACGGACCAAGGAGUCUAACAUGCGCGCGAGUCGCGGGGUUUCGAGCGUGCCACGGUGCGCUCGUUACUUCCGAAACCCGUACGUUGAAGGCGUAAUGAAAGUGAACAGGGAAGAUGGCGUUCCGAGUCCACGUACCGUGAUCGAGUAUCGCGGCCGGACGCCCGCACUCCCGGGGCGUCUCAAUGGUUCGUCGCGGAUGCGGACGGUCGUCUUUCGGGGCGGCCGUCGGUCUGCGACGGUCCGA